UACGUAGGGGGCAAGCGUUGUCCGGAAUCAUUGGGCGUAAAGAGCGCGUAGGCGGCCCGGUAAGUCCGCUGUGAAAGUCAAGGGCUCAACCCUUGAAUGCCGGUGGAUACUGUCGGGCUAGAGUCCGGAAGAGGCGAGUGGAAUUCCUGGUGUAGCGGUGAAAUGCGCAGAUAUCAGGAGGAACACCGGUGGCGAAGGCGGGAUCCUGGGCCAGUACUGACGCUGAGGAGCGAAAGCGUGGGGAGCGAACAGG
rnacentral:rRNA from 1 species